rnacentral:rRNA from 4 species
UGGCGGCACUAGCGCGGUGGUCCCACCUGACCCCAUGCCGAACUCAGAAGUGAAACGCCGUAGCGCCGAUGGUAGUGUGGGGUCUCCCCAUGUGAGAGUAGGGAACUGCCAGGC